rnacentral:tRNA from 1 species
GGAGAGGUCGCAUAGUGGCCUAGUGCGGCGGUUUGCUAAACCGCUGAAGGGGAGUUCCUCUUCCGAGGGUUCGAAUCCCUCCCUCUCCGCCA